GAUUGAACGCUGGCGGCAGGCUUAACACAUGCAAGUCGAGCGGGGGAAGUUGCUUCGGUAACUGACCUAGCGGCGGACGGGUGAGUAAUGCUUAGGAAUCUGCCUAUUAGUGGGGGACAACAUUUCGAAAGGGAUGCUAAUACCGCAUACGCCCUAAGGGGGAAAGCAGGGGAUCUUCGGACCUUGCGCUAAUAGAUGAGCCUAAGUCGGAUUAGCUAGUUGGUGGGGUAAAGGCCUACCAAGGCGACGAUCUGUAGCGGGUCUGAGAGGAUGAUCCGCCACACUGGGACUGAGACACGGCCCAGACUCCUACGGGAGGCAGCAGUGGGGAAUAUUGGACAAUGGGGGGAACCCUGAUCCAGCCAUGCCGCGUGUGUGAAGAAGGCCUUUUGGUUGUAAAGCACUUUAAGCGAGGAGGAGGCUACUGGUAUUAAUACUACUGGAUAGUGGACGUUACUCGCGGAAUAAGCACCGGCUAACUCUGUGCCAGCAGCCGCGGUAAUACAGAGGGUGCGAGCGUUAAUCGGAUUUACUGGGCGUAAAGCGUGCGUAGGCGGCUGAUUAAGUCGGAUGUGAAAUCCCUGAGCUUAACUUAGGAAUUGCAUUCGAUACUGGUCAGCUAGAGUAUGGGAGAGGAUGGUAGAAUUCCAGGUGUAGCGGUGAAAUGCGUAGAGAUCUGGAGGAAUACCGAUGGCGAAGGCAGCCAUCUGGCCUAAUACUGACGCUGAGGUACGAAAGCAUGGGGAGCAAACAGGAUUAGAUACCCUGGUAGUCCAUGCCGUAAACGAUGUCUACUAGCCGUUGGGGCCUUUGAGGCUUUAGUGGCGCAGCUAACG
rnacentral:rRNA from 1 species